rnacentral:rRNA from 1 species
GAUUUCUACCUGACCGUCCUGGCCCGCUUUCUUUUUGGAAGUGAGUGCUGAGAUGAGUCUGGUAUCCUUAUCGAGAGCCAGGCCUAUCCUUCACUGGAUUGGGCGUGUGCGAUCGAUAUCAUUUACUUUGAAAAAAUUAGAGUGUUUAAAGCAGGCUUACGCUGUGAAUACAUUAGCAUGGAAUAAUAAUAUAGGACUUCGGUUCUAUUUUGUUGGUUUCUAGGACUGAAGUAAUGAUUGAUAGGGAUAGUUGGGGGUGCUAGUAUUCCGCGGCCAGAGGUGAAAUUCUUGGAUUCGCGGAAGACUAACUACUGCGAAAGCAUU